AGUUUCAACAAAAAAAAAAUUACGUGAAGAUGUGCUCCCGUUUCACAGUGAAAUUAUUAACAAUAAAUUGCAACAAUUAAUUGUUUAUUUAUAAUAAAUCGAUUCGCUAACUCGCUGGCUACAAUUUGAGUGCAUAAUUAUUGCUGGAUGUCACGUAUUUUGGCCAAAAAAUGAUAUUGUUUAAAGCGUCAAAAAGUGGCCGGGUCACAAAAGGGACAUCAUGAAAUUUUAUGAUACAAAAUGGCCGCAGAUAUCCUUGAAUAUGUCAAAAGUUGUCAAACCUGGACAGACGCAAUGGCAUUUACUCCAAAAAUCGUAGCAGAUUUUCUUUGAAUAUGUCGAAAGUUGCCAAGCCUGCAUGGAUGCCAUGACAUUUACAACAAAAAGUGAGAGCAGAUUCAAAAAAAGAUGACCAUGAAUCAUUUGGAAAAAUGACAUUACAGUAAUAAAAGUCUUGGCUUCUAGACAGACACCAGUGCAUCUACGAUUCUGUAUGACCACAGAUACAACAAAAGAAUGGCCAAGAAUUAUACGGAUAAAUGACACCCUGAAUGUCAAUUAUAGCUAGGCUAAAUAUCAUUAUUUGGAAAAUAUGCCUUACUAGCUGACAAAGAUCUUGGCACUUUAUUAAACAACAAAUGAUGUCAGACUAUUUGACGAGUAAGUGUGCUGUUUCAUCACAAUUGAGCAAGUGGUAAAAAUGACGAUGAUCGUGACACCAUCAUCACUACUCAAAAUUCAACUAUGCCUCUUGUGAAGCCCCGUGCUGAGAUAAAUCCAACGGAGUAUUUUUCAGCUUCCUCCAUGAUUUUUUAUCCGAGCUGAUUAACAACAGUUACUUGAAAUUAAAAAUUUAUUAUAUAUUAUUAAAAAAAAAAAAAAUAAAA